rnacentral:rRNA from 1 species
CCUACGGGAGGCUGCAGUAGGGAAUAUUGGUAAUCUGGGAAACCGGGAACCAGCAACGCCGCGUGCACGAUGAAGGCCUUCGGGUCGUAAAGUGCUUUUUGAAGGGAUGAGGAAGGACAGUACCUUCAGAAUAAGCCUCGGCUAACUACGUGCCAGCAGCCGCGGUAAAACGUAGGAGGCGAGCGUUAUCCGGAUUUACUGGGCGUAAAGCGUGUGUAGGCGGUUUGAUAAGUUGGAUGUGAAAGCUCCCGGCUCAACUGGGAGAGGUCGUUCAAAACUAUCAGACUAGAGAGUGGUAGAGGGAGGUGGAAUUCCGCGUGUAGUGGUGAAAUGCGUAGAUAUGCGGAGGAACACCAGUGGCGAAAGCGGCCUCCUGGCCCAUUUCUGACGCUCAGACACGAAAGCUAGGGUAGCAAACGGGCUUAGAUACCCUAGUAGUC